UACGGGGGGAGCAAGCGUUGUUCGGAUUUACUGGGCGUAAAGGGCGCGUAGGCGGCGCAACAAGUCACUUGUGAAAUCUCCGGGCUUAACCCGGAGCGGUCAAGUGAUACUGUCGUGCUAGAGUGCGGAAGGGGCAACUGGAAUUCUCGGUGUUGCGGUGAAAUGCGUAGAUAUCGGGAGGAACACCUGUGGCGAAAGCGGCGCACUGGACCACAACUGACGCUGAGGCGCGAAAGCUAGGGGAGCAAACAGG
rnacentral:rRNA from 1 species